UACGGAGGGUGCAAGCGUUAAUCGGAAUUACUGGGCGUAAAGCGCACGCAGGCGGCUUUUUAAGUCGGAUGUGAAAGCCCCGGGCUCAACCUGGGAAUUGCAUCUGAUACUGGGAAGCUAGAGUAUGUGAGAGGGGGGUAGAAUUCCAAGUGUAGCGGUGAAAUGCGGAGAGAUUUGGAGGAAUACCAGUGGCGAAGGCGGCCCCCUGGCACAAUACUGACGCUCAGGUGCGAAAGCGUGGGGAGCAAACAGGAUUAGAUACCCUGGUAGUCCACGCCGUAAACGAUGUCUACUAGAUGUUCGUGGUCUUGUACCGUGAGUAUCGCAGCUAACGCAUUAAGUAGACCGCCUGGGGAGUACGGUCGCAAGAUUAAA
rnacentral:rRNA from 1 species